UGUGCAGGCUGUUAUGUAACAUAUCAUUCCUUUAAAACUCAACAUUGCAAAUGAAGACUAGAGGUUCCAAUAACAUUAGUGGACAAACAAGGUAAAACUUUAUAUAUUCAACCAACAUGUCAAAAAGAUAGAUAACAAAGUAAACCACAGGUUUUCCAGUUAUCUAAGGGGAAAUUUUAUUUUGUUAUUUAAAUUACAUAUAUUUAGUCACAUUAUUCGAAUAAAUUACUGCAGAAGCCAACCCUCCACACAUUGUCUUUUCUAUUUAACAUUAAAACUUAUAGCUUUUCCAAAUCCAAAUUCAAAUUGUCAAUCAUUCAAGUGAUAUUUCUGAUGAAAUCUCAAUUAUAGUGGCACCAAUCUUUUUCAAGGAGAAAUCUUAGGUUAUUCCUAAGUGUUCCACUCCACAACAUUUAGUUCUUCAAUUCUUCACCACUCCUGUGGCCGGUAGUACUAUUAUUACUAUUACAUCCAACACAGACAGUCUUAAGUGACCAGUCUACUAUCUAAGCUAGUGAUUUCUGGCAAAAAUAUCCUUUAGCCACACUCCCACAAAGGAGACAACAAUUUAGAUGACAGAACCUCCAAGAUAAAAUUGAAAAAUCAGAGUUACCAAAUCAUUUUUCCUUUUACACUUUCACUUCCAGUAUCAUCAAACACAAACAUCAAUAUAUCAUGAAUAAUUGAAGAGCUAAAAAUAACACUUUGAAAUUUCAUAUGGACAUGAACAAAAUUCACAGCAGUUAAAAAAAAGAGGACAAACUCACGAUUAUUGCACGGCCAAAUGCGCCAGC
rnacentral:misc_RNA from 1 species